UACGUAGGGUGCAAGCGUUGUCCGGAAUUAUUGGGCGUAAAGAGCUCGUAGGCGGUCUGUUGCGUCGGCUGUGAAAACCCGAGGCUCAACCUCGGGCCUGCAGCCGAUACGGGCAGACUAGAGUUCGGCAGGGGAGACUGGAAUUCCUGGUGUAGCGGUGAAAUGCGCAGAUAUCAGGAGGAACACCGGUGGCGAAGGCGGGUCUCUGGGCCGAUACUGACGCU
rnacentral:rRNA from 1 species